AGUGAACGCUGGCGGUAGGCCUAACACAUGCAAGUCGAACGGCAGCACAGUAAGAGCUUGCUCUUACGGGUGGCGAGUGGCGGACGGGUGAGGAAUACAUCGGAAUCUACUUUUUCGUGGGGGAUAACGUAGGGAAACUUACGCUAAUACCGCAUACGACCUACGGGUGAAAGCAGGGGAUCUUCGGACCUUGCGCGAUUGAAUGAGCCGAUGUCGGAUUAGCUAGUUGGCGGGGUAAAGGCCCACCAAGGCGACGAUCCGUAGCUGGUCUGAGAGGAUGAUCAGCCACACUGGAACUGAGACACGGUCCAGACUCCUACGGGAGGCAGCAGUGGGGAAUAUUGGACAAUGGGCGCAAGCCUGAUCCAGCCAUACUGCGUGGGUGAAGAAGGCCUUCGGGUUGUAAAGCCCUUUUGUUGGGAAAGAAAAGCAGCAGGUUAAUACCCCGCUGUUCUGACGGUGCCCAAAGAAUAAGCACCGGCUAACUUCGUG
rnacentral:rRNA from 1 species